UUCAUGAAACUUUGUAGAUAAUAAGGACUUACUAUGUAGAUGUGCAUAUCGACAGGAAAUUACGAUUUUUUUUUUGUAGGAGUUAUGCCCCUGUAACUUAGAACUUUGGCCAAAAUAUACUACUGCAACAGUUUGUCAUCCAAACUUCUCUGAAACCACACAACAGAAUUUCAUGAAACUUUGUAGAUAAUAAGGACUUACUAUGUAGAUGUGCAUAUCGGCAGGAAAUUACGAUUCAAUUUUUAUUGUAGGAGUAAUGCCCCUUUAACUUAGAAUUUUGGCCAAAAUAUACUACUGCAACAGUUUGUCAUCGCAACUCCUCUGAAACCACACAACAGAAUUUCAUGAAACUUUGUAGAUAAUAAGGACAUACUAUGUAGAUGUGCAUAUCGACAAGAAAUUACGAUUCAAUUUUUUUCUAGAAGUUAUGCCCCUUUUACCUAGAAUUUUGGCCAAAAUAUACUACUGCAACAGUUUGUCAUUGCAACUUCUCUGAAACCACACAACAAAAUUUCAUGACACUUUGUAGAUAAUAAGGACAUACUAUGUAGAUGAACUUAUUGCAGGAAAUUACGAUUCAAUUUUUUUUCUAGGAGUUAUGCCCCUUAGAACUUAGAAUUUUGGCCCAAUUAUACUACUGCAACAGUUGAAACUUUGUAGUUUAUGAGGACAUAAUAUGUUAAUUGUGCAUAUCCACAAGAAAAUUUUUAUCAGUUGACUUUUGUAGAGUUAUGAGUCUUUGAACUUAGGAAUCUGGUGAGAUUUUGUUUGUCAAGUGACAAUGUGGGGGUGUGGGGUAUGUGAGGUUCUUUAAUUUUUUUAUUAAAAUUAUUUUUAGGGUUUCCCCUUAGCAAAUCAUGGACUUUGCAAGGGGAAGGGUUUAUCAUUUUGUGGAGCAAGAUCACUGGGUACUUCUACUUUUUUUCCAGUGUGCUAUAUUCACAAAUAUCAGUUUAAAGUGUCUUUUAUACCAUCUCUUGGGCAGGUAACAAGUAACUUUCUAGUGGUAUACUAAUUAAGUAUAACUGAUUUUUCUUUUCAGAUACUGAUAACAUGCCUGUCUACAUCACCCAGGUAUUGUACAUAUAUCAAAGAUAAAUUAGGUCCAGAAGACAAAGCUACUCUGCAUUUUAUUGGACCUUAUGAUAUAUUAAAGGCAAGGGAGAGGAGCCAGCUGAUAAAAGCUUUUCUACGUUUAGGAAACCGACAAAGAUUAGGAAUACCAAAAGUAUAAUCUGCCUUUUGUGUUACUAGAAUCUGCUCACCCUAUCAAAGCUAAAGUGAAUACCAAAGUUGAUUCAUAGUAAUGAAUAUAGAGGUGGAAUCUCUUAAAAUACAUUUAUUUUUUAGUACAAAAUCUUAGUGAAAUUGUUGCCACAACAUUUUGUAAUUCAAGAACAAAGCAACAAAAAGUUUAUUUAUACAGCAUCAGAGUUAUUUUCAGAGCUAGAUAUAAAGAUAUGUAUAUAUAUUAACAUUAUUGUGACAUAGGAAAUGUACUAGAAAAUGCAAGAAUGGUGAAAUUCAUCUAUUAUCCAUUACUUAUCAUCCCCUGUUUGACACAUUGCAAGGGACAUAGAAAUACCCUGCAUCCAUCCAGUCUUGUAAGUGCUCUCCUGUGUACUAUUCUUGCAAGAUAUUUAUAGAAUUUAUAUUGAAGGUCAGCAAUGUCUAGAACAAGUUUGAAAAAUCAGUGCAGAUCAAUUUUUAUGCCCCCGCCAUAGCGGAGGGGGUAUUGCGAUUAACCCUUGUCCGUCUGUACGUCCGUCCCAAAAUUGGUUUCCCUUCUCUAACUUUAGUUUGCCUCCACCAAAUGUUAUGAAAUUUAUACACAAUGCUUAUUACCACAAAAACACAGAUCAAGUUUGAAUUUUGGUGGCGUCACUUUUACUGUUCUAAAGUUAUGCCCUUCUACAAAUGGAAAAAUUGUUGACUUUUUGGUAUCCCUUCUCUUACUUUAGUUUGCCUCAACCAAAUGUUAUGAAUCUUAUGUUGUGUUUUGUGUACUAUUGUUUGUCUGUUUGUCUUUAUCUUUUGUAGCCAUGGCGUUGUCAGUUUAUUUUUGAUCUAGGAGUUUGAAUGUCCCUCUGGUAUCUUUCGCCCCUCUUAUAUGCACAAUGCCAAUUACCACAAAACACAGAUCAUGUUUCAAUUUUUGGGGCGUCACUUUUACCGUUCUUGUAUAAAAAUUACCAUCAUGUAACAUCUAUCAGCCCAGCCCUGACAUAUAAAAGUAUAUUUACAGUAAACAUCUUAUUUAUUUGUAAACCUGUUUUCUCUUAACCAUACAUACAGAUUUUAUUACUAUUUGCCUUUUUAGUUCACCUGGCACGAGGUCCACUGUGAGCUUUUGACAUCACUUAUUGUCAACUGUCGUCUUCUGUUAAAUUAUACAUAGAUCAUCUCCUCUGCAACUACUAAACCAAAUUUAACCAAACAUGGCAAAAAUUAUCAACGGGAUAUCUAUUUUAAAAAGUGUGUCAUCUCAACCUGCCUGCCGACAAACAUGGUUCACAUGGCUAAAAAUAUAAGAGCAAUUUUUGUCUAUUAACUUGAAAGCGCUAUAGAUAAAGAAAAUUGGGCAGGAACAAAUAUUUCAGAAUGAUGAGAUCUACAUAAUAUCAUUUGACAUCAAAACUGUCAGAUCACUUCUUAUACGAGUUAUUGCCCUUAAUUGAGUUUAGUAAAAAGUUAUGUUUGCCUAUUAUUUCGAAUUAUGAUAGAUAGACAGAAACUUUAAAUAGCAAAAAUGAUCAACAAGACAAGAAAAUUAAUAAAUAAGUCAACAUUAUUGAAAUCCCCAGUCAACCCCUUAUUGAAGUUGUUGCCCUUUAAUGACGAUGUUUCCCUUUUUUUCCAGGAUUACCAAUUUCUUGAAAACUAUGAUAAAUAAAACUUUAAAAUGCAAAAAUUAUUGGCAAGACAAGAUCAACAAAUAAGUCAAUAUUUUGCAGUUUUGUCUAUUUCCUUGAAAACUAUAUAGAUAGAUAAAAAAUUGUAAUAGAAAAAUGAUCACCAGGACAACAUCUACAGAUAAGCCAUAAUGGCUGAAAUCUUUAGUUGAUUUGAUUAAAUUUUUUGAGUUAUUUACCAUUUAAUGAUAAUUAUUACUAUUUUUUUUCUUUUUUGCCUUUUAUCUUGAAAACUAUAAUAGAUAUAUAGAAACUUUAAAAACAAAAAAAUAUUCAGCUGAAUAGAAUCUACAAAUGUGUUAAAAUGACUUAAAUUGCAAGUUAACUAAUAAAGUUAUUCUCCUUUUAUGAUGAUUUUUACUUAAAAGUGGCCAUUCUGAAAGAUGCAGGUGAGCAACACAGGCUCUUUAAGAGUUCUGUUUAUUGACAAAAGCAUUAAAAGACAGGUGUUAAAUUUUAACUGAAUGUAUUCGACUUUGUUCUUAUAUCUAUAUUGUUAUUCUUAUUUGUGCAUAUGCAAAAAUGAUGGCAGUUAUUUAUACACAUUAAUAGAUAACUUGUAAAAGAAAUAUGUGAUAUUUAAACAAAAAAUAAUCUACUUGAUUGUGUUUUACUUUGAAUAUAAGUUUGCUUUCUAUUAUUAUGGACAAUAAAAUCAAUUCUUACUUUGUUUCUGUUUAAGAUGAUGAAUUGUGCAGGAACAUAUAUAUAAAUAGUAACAAUAUAAUGCAUUGAACUUUCUUGACCAGAUUUUAUUUUUACCUGAGCCACAACAAAACUUCAGACUCGCCUAUAAAAUGCUAUAUUUUUGAGUAACUACACAUUCAAAUAAUUUAUUUAAUAAAUAGUGUUUUUUUAUUUUAAUCAGUAUAUUACGGGUGAAAUAUUCUAUAUAUUAACUAAAUUUUUAAAGAGAGUUUUCAAUUGCAAAAAUUGUACUUGCUAAACAUGUAAUCAAUUUGAAUGAUUAGUUGAAAUCAAGUACAAAUACUUUAUUUAUAUAUAACUUAUCUGAAUUUGUAAAUUGGUGUGAAAUUUUAAAGUUAUUACUCUUUACUUUGAAUCAUUUACAUUUAUAGAUAUAUAUAUGUAUAUACACUUAUAACAUUCAUAACAUUAUUGCAAAAUUAAUUUUAAUCAAUAUAAAAUUUCAUUUCAUUUUUGUAUACAUUAUUUAACGAUCAUAAUUAUGUGAACUAUCUGAUGUUGCUACAUUUUGCAUUUAUUCAUCUACAUAUAUGUAUGUCUCACCUUGCAACAUCACUAUCAUAUUUGAAUCAUUUAUUGUUAAAUGUUCAUUCACUAUUUGUAUAUAUUAAAUGAAUAUAUGUGUAUAAUUUGUAGUUAAUCAUUAUCUUAAAAUAAAUUUGUAAGUGGUGGUUAUAUGAGAAAAUAAAUUUGUAAGUGGUGGUUAUAUGAGGAGUGUUUUUGAUUUACUACAAAAAAUACUCGUUUUGAUGUUGAAAUCUAGAUACAGGUACACCAGUCUUCAUUUUAGUUCUUUAAAUUUUGGACUCAAAAAGAGAUGUGACAAAGCACAAUGAAAAUUAGUUUUUUCUUCUACUUUGCAAAUUAAGUUAAAUGUUGAAGGUUUUUUGGCUAAAGAUCUAUGGGUUUUAUUUCAAUUCCUGAAUACUUACAUAAUUAUGUUACUUCGUGUGGAAUUUUGUUUGACCACUGUCUAACAUAUCCCACUGUCCACAUAGGGUAGUUGGUUUGUCUAGCUAACUCCUACAGUGUUCUAGCUAGAACAUUUAUAUUAUGUAGGGUGUUAGUACAUAUUCUAAAGGUGUGCACAUUAUCAGGAUUUGCAUGUUCCUUAUAUUUUCCACAAAUGAAAGGAUGUUGAACUUUCUCAUUUUUAACUCACUUGGGGUGCACAGAAAUGCUAUGUUGAGGUAUAUGUACAUUUAGUGUUUGUACCAAAAAUAUCAGAUGACUUAUUAAAGUGUAACCCCAUUAAAAUGAAGAUUGUUUGCUAGUUUCCAUGUUUUUACCUGAAUACUUAAAACUUAUAUUAUAUCGUAAGAAACUGCCAUAGGAAUUAAUAAUCAGCAAAACAAGAUCUGUAGAACAUUGUAGAAAAUAAGGUCAUAGUGAUUGACCUUAUAUAACACAGGUCCCUGGUGUACAUAACAUAGGAGGCUGUAGUGCACCUUGUAUAACACAGGUCCCUGUUGAAUGUAACAGGAGGGUGUAGUGCACCUUAUAUACAUGUAACACAGGUCCCUGUUGAAUGUAAUAGGAGGGUGUAGUGCACCUUAUAUAACACAGGUCCCAGGUAAAUGUAAACAGCAAAAAUGUUCAGCAAAGUAAGAUCUACAAAAAAGUUUAACGACAAAAACUAUCAAUUGACCCCUUAAGGAGUUAAUGGCCUUUAAGGACAAUUUUUAAGUUUCUAACUUUUAAAAUCUUCUCAUAUGAAUCUAGUAUAAAUUUUGUAUUUUAUUUCUUUGUACAUGUUGUAUGUCAAGAAACAUAGACACUGGCUAAAAUGGAACAUAUGGGUAAAAUGCAUUUAUAUGCUUUUGAAGAAAAUAUGACCGAUACAAUGAACAUUUAAAUGGCAUUUUUAAGCCACUCAUUAAUAUGGGCGCAUUGCAUUUGCACCAAUUUUUUCAAAAAUCCAAUCUUUCAUUUGCGCCACAAGGUUAUAUUUCAUUUGCGCCAAAAAUAAAAACUUCAUUUACGCCAUUUUACAUGUAUUGUAUAGAGGAAAAGUUCAAUAUCCGUGAAUAACAUUUGUGUUUACAAUAUUCCCCCUGGAGAACUGAAGGAGUUCAUACACAUUUCUAAUACAAAACUGAGAGUCACUAAGGUUUGGAAUUAUAUAGUUUGAGGUGUCAAGAUGGACAUUAAUAUUGUCAAUUUAGAGACAAACAAACAAAAUGGUCUGUAUUUUAGGAUGGACACACAUAUAUGUUAUCAUAUGUUCUGAAAAAUUUGGAAAGCCAGAAGACAAAAAAAAAAAACAAUUAUUAAAACUUAGAAUGAACAUGCUUGUCGAAAUAUUAUUUUCAAAUCAAAC